ACAGGAGAGAGAGAGAGAGAGAGAGAGCGCAAAAAUCUGCGCAGGGUCCAUUUUCUCUCCUACCCUCAACGGAGGAACAUUUGAUUUUCUCCAACAAAAGAGAUUCUGUUUUAUUAGAUUAGUUUACGCACAUAUUUAUUUAUGAUUUUUAAAGAUCUUCUGCAGAUUUUAUUGCGUUUAAACGGAUCCAAACAGAAGCUGAAAAUGGAUCCAUCGAAAGGAGCCGAGAGGGAAAAAGCUUCAUCACAUGACGGAUGAUGAUGAUGAUGAUGUGGCGCAAAGAGCCUCAAUAAUCCGCAGCGCAGAAAACUCACUGGAAAAAGGAGACAAUCUGUUUUUCUCAGCACAAUAAAAAACUCCAACAGCUAAUGCAGAGCUCUUCCUGCUGGUUAACAGACUUUCUCAAAGGAAGACGGUCCCACAAGCUGAAAUUCCCCCAAACAAUCACUGAACCAACGUCUCAAUCCUCCAACAAUCAAGCCUCAUCCGAAGUUCUUUGUUUGUGAGAGUUAUAAUAAGCAGCACAUCCCCUCAGCAGCAGCGCAGGCCCACAGAGCUGCCUUCCGGAGCAGCUAUGGCUCCCCCUAGCUACCUCUCCGUAUUUCCUUGUUAGUGCACACCCAGAGCCCUGACCCUCCCUGCCUACAAAACACACCAAAUACACCAAAAUACACCUGAAAA